CUGAAAAGGGGAAAAAAGGAAAAAAAAAAAAAAAAGAAGACCUGGCUCCUCGUUUCAUCCGGAAACCGACGGGCCGGCAGGAAAUGACGGAGGUAGCGGUCGUCCAGGUCCGCUCGAUAACCGGUUCGCGUGCGCCCGGCUCCGACCCGGGGGGGAAAGAGUCCCGGAGCCGAGCCGAGCGGGCCUCGUGCCGCCUCCGGAACACGCAGCCCCCAUGGCUGGAAGUUACGGAGUGAUGGGUGAUGAUGGUUCUAUUGAUUAUACUGUUCACGAAGCCUGGAAUGAAGCCACGAAUGUUUACUUGAUUGUGAUCCUUGUUAGCUUCUUUCUCUUCAUGUAUGCCAAGAGGAAUAAAAGGAAAAUCAUGAGAAUAUUCAGUGUGCCGCCUACCGCAGAAACUUUGUCAGAACCCGACUUUUAUGACACAAUAAGCAAAAUUCGUUUGAGACAGCAACUGGAAAUGUAUUCCAUUUCAAGGAAAUACGACUAUCAGCAGCCACAAAACCAACCCGACAGUGUGCAGCUCUCAUUGGAAUGAAAUUCAGAAAAUGAGUAACAGAACUAACUGAUGAGAAUCAUGCACACCCACUGACAGGAACAACACCAAGUCUGGCUUUGAAGUUUCUUCACUGCUUCAACAGCUGAGCUGGGUGAGGGGUGGAAACCCUGCAACCACACUUCAAAGUGACACCAGCUGAUUGGCCUGCCUCUGCCCCUGCAUCCACCAGCAAUUCAAUGGAGCUGCGUUUUUUUGGAAGAAAAAUGGAAUGACUGAUAAACUGAGUUUCUGCUGCUCUUGUAAAUAGAAAUGACAGAGGUUCUCACUGUCUUGAAAGAGUGGCUCCAUCCCUGGAGUUCUUAUGAAAAAAUACUUUGACAGAUUUCAAACCAGUGGAAGAAAGUUGAGGAUUUCUAACUGCAACCAGCUGUUGUUGCUAAACUUAACUGCAAAUGCUUUUGACUUCAGUAAUCUGAAUUUCUUGAGAAAAAGGUACCAAAUUGUGCCAGUUUGAAUAUAUUGUGUCCCCCAAACGCCAUUAUCUUUGAUGCAAUCUUGUGGGGCAGACAUUUUAGUGCUGAUUAGAUUGGAAUUCUUUGAAUGUUUCCAUGGAGCUGUGCCC